UACGUAGGUGGCAAGCGUUGUCCGGAUUUAUUGGGUUUAAAGGGUGCGUAGGCGGCUUAUUAAGUCAGUGGUGAAAUACUCUAGCUCAACUAGAGGGGCGCCAUUGAUACUGAUGAGCUUGAGUACAGAUGAGGUAGGCGGAAUUGACGGUGUAGCGGUGAAAUGCUUAGAUAUCGUCAAGAACACCUAUAGCGAAGGCAGCUUACUAGGCUGUAACUGACGCUGAGGCACGAAAGUGUGGGGAGCAAACAGG
rnacentral:rRNA from 1 species